GGAACAAGGCUGUGGGAAUGCUGGAGAUGCUGCUUCCGGAAAUGUAUGAAAUAUAGGUCCAUGCAGUGAAUGCUGUCAUGAGCCUCCAAGAUCCAUCUUGGGGACUGAAGGUCUUCUCUCCCUCCAUGGUCACACCUCCUUUUCAGAAGCAGCCUGAACCCAAUGACCAGCCCAUAUAGAAGUAUAAAGAUUCAAGAGAACAAUUGUACAACAUGGUGACUUUCAUUAAUAACAAUCUAUUGGAGUCUUGAAAAUCGCUAAGAGAGUAGAUUUUAAGUGUUCUUACCACAAAAAAUGGUAAGUACGUGAGGUAAUGCAUAUGUUAAAUAGCUCGAUUUAGCCCCUCCACAAUGUAUACAUAUUUCAAAAUAUCAUGUUGUACACAAGAAAUGUAUAAAAUUUUUAUUUGUGAAUGAAAAAAGUAAUAAAUACAACUGUGAGUGCUGCAAAUAAAGAAGACGGUAUAACUAAUUUAGGAGGGUGUCAGAGAGUCAUCUUCCAAAGUAAAAUAUGAACAGAUACUAUUUCAAACUAAAAUAUUCACAUAUAGCAGUAUUAGCAUUUUUUUUAGUUAAUAAUUUUUUUAAAGCCAGAAGGAUUGUAAGUCAUUGCCUCAUAGUAGCUGGCAAUUGGUGCAGUGGUCAUAGCCAGGAUCUGUUGUUUGUAGUAACCCUAGGAUAACAAUUGAGAGUUUUUCAUCAUGGUAACUUCAGUAAAAAUGAAGACUAGAUUAAAACAACAACAAAAAAAGUAUAAAGACCCAACAUGCUCCACAGAAUCGGUUGAGAUCUUUGAUAAGACUGCAGCACUGCUUGACUUUUCCCUCUGCCAAUCCUGCUUCCAUUCCUUCCCCUCCUAUUGGUAUAGAUCCCAAAAGGACUCCUAAUAAACCUCUGCAAGCCAACCUUCAUCUUGGAUUUUGUUUCCUACUCCCCUGCAACAGAAAUUCAUUUUGCUCCUGCAGUAAACUACAUUCUCCAAUCUAGCACUUAUUUAUACUAAGAUGAGAUUUGGCCUACAGCUUCCUUACUCUCUGCCUUAUUUCUGAUUCAGAAUAUGGACAGGGAAUACGGGCACUAUUUAUCGGACUGCUUCAAAAUCCCAAUGGCCAUUCUCAUUAGGAAAUCCAGGAAAGAUCAGUGCAUAGAGGCAGGCAGGGUACAAUAGUGUCAUUACCACCUGGGCCAUCAUUUAGGGUACAGGAGCCCUGCCAACGGGCUGAGAUCCAGGGAAGCCAGGGAUGGACAUGACCAUGGCAAGAGGGAAUUUAAUUUCAAGCUUUAUUCUCCAUAGAAGCAGCCUCACUGCAGAACACCUUUCAGCCAAGGAUCAGACCAAGAGUCAUUUGACAAUAAUAAGAGACCAGGUCUCUAAAUGCACCUGAUAACCUCACCAUCCUGGCCAAUCCCUAGCAGUGAGGUCCAGUGAGAAGAACACUGGGCUUUGUCCCAACAAGAGUGACCAAUAUUUGAUUGCCAAUUUCACUAUCACUAUCUGCAUGACCCUGAGCAAGCUUAACCUAACUUCGCUGAGCCUACUUUCCUCAUCUGUAAAAUAGAAUAAGAAGAACCUUGCAGAGUUGGUGGGAGGAUUAAAUAAGAUAAUGUAUGUAAAGCUCCUAGCACACAGCCUGGCUUUUAGCAACUCACAGCAUUAGUAUUUUUCACAUAAAGAGUUUUUAAGCUUCUCAACGUGAUGCGUUAUGACUGGUUGCUCCUAGCCAAUUCAUUUACCUCCCACUGUGCCAUUUCUAAAUAGGGAGACUAUUUACACUUGGACAGAACAAGACGUAGGUUUUUGAGCAGCUAUAUAGGGCAGGGAGCCAUCUAAUGAGCAUGGCUUAUUUUUAUCCACCACUUUUGCAUCUUAGACAUGGCUAUUUGGAUACAGGUCAGCCCUUCCAGUAAAAUAUUGUUCCUGCUCACCUGCAAUGGGUGAUUUAUAUAACUCCACUUGGCCUCAAAGGACAGAAAAGCAAUCAACUCCAAGUGGAGAGAGGUGUUACGGCACAACUUAAGGCUGUAUGAGAAUGAAAGACCAGAAGGUCAGGACUGGGAAUUGACAGAGAUAGUGACAUGGGCAGGACCAGGAUCUUCACUGGGACAGUGCCACCCCAGAAAUGAGGUCUUCUUGGUUCAGUUGCAAUUUGCGAGUCACUGGCCAAUACCCUAGAGUCCAUUGCAGGAAAGCAAUACCAGUGAUUCAGGGAAAUCUUUUACCCCAAGAGGGGGAAAUACUGGAAGAAAAUGUCAAAGAAAUUAGAUAAAUCGAUGCCCAAGGCUGCCAUCAGGAAAAACCCACACCCCUGCCCAGCCCUUUGGUAUCAUAUCCUUCAGGCUUCUGUUGGCAACAGAAUCUUUGGCUGAAGGAGCCACUGUCUGACCGGUCUGUCCCCAUAUCCCUGGACUCCAGCUUUGGAAAAAUGAGGAAAUGGGCCUGGCCAAGGGGAGCAAGAUAAGCAAGGGAGCAUCCCAAGGAGCCCAGACUCCCAGCCCCCACUGAGCUGGCCACUUGCUCAGGCUGCAGGACCCUAGGAUGUGACCUGACUGGCAGCCAGGAGCACAAGUCCACCAAGCCAUCCAGGGAGUGACCCUGCCAGCUCCCACGUCUGUUUUCCUCCCAAGCACACUACCACCAAGCAUAUACCUGGACAAAUCCAGGGGAAUUUUGAUUCUGUGUCCCCAACUUUCUUUCUCCUCAUUCUUUUCCUGUCUUUCCACCUUCCACCAUGACCCACGUGGUAGUAACACCGUUUCUGCAGAAACUGCUUUGAGGAAAAAAAAAGCCUGGAGCAGAUUUAUCCUCUGAAAUUGUGUUCUCCUGGAUGGCUUCCUGGUUAAUGCUCAUGGGAUUACAAAAUGGAAGGCUUUGUCUUGUGUCAAUAGCAUUCUAACAUCAAGAGAGGAUAAAGGAGGGGCUUAGGGGCUCCAGAGGGAUCUGGUGACUCUGACUCUUCUGAAAUUACAGCCCUGGCUGCCCACACAGGAGACUGAGCUCCUGCCCAGCAGCCAUCACAUGGUGAAACCAUCCCUAUAAACUUUAUAAAGUUAAUCAUGGAAGAAGAGGGGGAGAGAAAUGAAAAUAAAUCCAGCUUGCAGCACACUCAGCAUUCAUCAUGAGGCCAGCCUGCUCUCUAGCCCACUUCCUCAGAGCUGUUUGAUGCCUAUUGCCUCAGAAUCACAUGGAGCCUAGAUUAGAGUUCCCCAUCACUGCUCUAUAGAUAACAACUUGAACAUUAUGAAAUGUUAAUUUUUCUAUUUGAGAUAUUCUUUUAGGUCCUGCACACCAUGUGACACUACUGACAUCAGCUGGUCUGAAGGACCCCAUGAGAAACUGACUUCACAAAGAAUGCAGUUUCCACAUCCUAAUAAUUUCAUCCUCCUUACCCCAACCAAUCCACAACCCCAGUUUUCCAGCCCCUUGCCCUCCACAAUUAUCUUGUAAACCUCAGCUCAAAAAUCCUCCAGAAGAUGAAUGUGAUGGUCUACUCCCAUCUCCUUUCUUGGCUGCCUUGCAAUCAUUAAACUCUUUCUCUGCUGCAAA